GAUUUUUAAAAAAGAGUGAGAGAGACUUAGCAGCUCAAACUGGAGAUACAGACGGAGAGAGAAACGUUCAGAGCUUCAGACGCCUGCAGAGAAGAUGGAGAUGAAGAUGAGCUGUGUGUGUUUGGUCCUGGUACUGGUCCUGCUGACGACCGUCCCCUCAGAUGCUUGUCCUCAUGGUCUUUGCCAUCCUGAUUCAUGCUGUUUCAGCUUCAUCACUUUUAAAAUUCCAGCUACAGAAAUACUAAAAGAAGAAAAAAUACAUUCCGCCUGCCCAAAGUCUGGCUAUGUGGUCACAACGAAGAGGGGCAGAUUCUGCAAGAAGGACCUGAACUAGAACUAGAUUUCAGAGCUGCAGCUUCAACGGAACCCAGACGCAGCACACAGUGCGGCUAAAAGCUUUACAAAACCCUUUAAUCAUCACAGGAUUUUAUCAAUCAGUGCUUUGCUUUUUCAAUAUUACCAGUGAUUGAAAUAAAAUAAUGCAUGACAGAGCAAAACAAGUACAUUACAUUACAUCUGUACAAUACAGUGUAUUGCUUUCCUUUAAUAUUAUUAAUGCUCAUUCUAUGCUGUGAAUCAAAAUAAAACAAUACAUAAUGUACACUA